ACCUAUUUAGUAUAAAUGUAUUAUUGACUUCCAAUCAAAAGGUCUGGAUUUUGACCCAGAAUAGGUA
rnacentral:tRNA from 1 species